CAUUAUCAAAAAUACCUUUUGAAUAGAUAACAAAAAGAUGGAACAUUCUUCGCCUUUGUUUAAAGUUGUGUUUCUUCUGGUGUUGUUUUUCAUAUGCAAUGCAGAGGCAGCAAUUUGUCAAGAUUUAAGCAAGACAUUCAAGGGACCAUGUGUAGAACCGCCACCUGCUGAAAAGUGUACGGCUGCUUGCAAAAAUGAGGGUUAUCAAUAUGGAACGUGCGAUAAAAGCCAAUGCUAUUGCGUAAAGCCAUGUCCUCCUAGUUAUAAACUCUCAUAAAUCAAUAUUUGUUUUUCUUACUUUUCAAUAUUAUUAAAUAUUUAUGAGGCUUAACUAAACAGACCCACUUAGCCUCUGACCUAAUGUAUCCUUUGAUGAGCAAUUAUGGAAUACUAUUGGGAAUUUUGAUAC